CCUACGGGAGGCAGCAGUGGGGAAUAUUGGUCAAUGGAGGCAACUCUGACCCAGCAAUGCCGCGUGAGUGAUGAAGGUAAUUUUAUUGUAAAGCUCUUUUCUUUGGAACGAAUAAAUGACGGUACCAAAGGAAUAAGCCCCGGCUAACUAAGUGCCAGCAGCCGCGGUAAUACGUAGGGGGCAAGCGUUGUUCGGAAUGACUGGGUGUGAAGGGUGUGUAGGGGGUUUGAUGAGUUAGGUGUGUAAUACCCAGGGCUUAACUCGGGUGCUGCAUCUAAAACUGUUAGACUUGAGUACUGGAGAGGUAAGUGGAAUGCGUGGUGUAGCGGUGGAAUGCGUAGAUAUUA
rnacentral:rRNA from 1 species